GGGGAUAUGGCGAAAUCGGUAGACGCUACGGACUUAAUAAAAUCCGUUGACUU
rnacentral:tRNA from 1 species